GUAUAUGAGGUGAUUAAUUGGAGGGCAAAUCAAGUGCCAGCAGCCGCGGUAAUACUUGUUCCAAGAGUGUGUAUGAUGAUUGAUGCAGUUAAAAAGUCCGUAGUUUAUUUUUUUAAGAAGCAAUAUGAGGUGUACUGUAUAGUUGGGAGAAAGAUGAAAUGUGACGACCCUGACUGGACGAACAGAAGCGAAAGCUGUACACUUGUAUGUAUUUUUUGAACAAGGACGUAAGCUGGAGGAGCGAAGAUGAUUAGAUACCAUUGUAGUUCCAGCAGUAAACUAUGCCGACGAUGUGAUAUGAGAAUGUUAAUUUGUAUUACAUAAUAGAAAUUUGAGUUUUUCGGCUCUGGGGAUAGUAUGAUCGCAAGAUUGAAAAUUAAAGAAAUUGACGGAAGAAUACCACAAGGAGUGGAUUGUGCGGCUUAAUUUGACUCAACGCGAGGUAACUUACCAAUAUUUUAUUAUUUAGAGAGAACGGUUUUUUGUUUGAGAAUGAUAAUAGUGGUGCAUGGCCGUUUUCAAUGGAUGCUGUGAAGUUUUGAUUAAUUUCAACAAGACGUGAGACCCUUAUUUUUUAUUAAAGACAGACACAAUCAGUGUAGGAAGGAAAGGAUUAAAACAGGUCCGUUAUGCCCUCUGACAUUUUGGGCUGCACGCGCAAUACAAUAGAUAUA
rnacentral:rRNA from 1 species